GAUUGAACGCUGGCGGCAGGCCUAACACAUGCAAGUCGAACGGUAACAGGAAGCAGCUUGCUGCUUCGCUGACGAGUGGCGGACGGGUGAGUAAUGUCUGGGAAACUGCCUGAUGGAGGGGGAUAACUACUGGAAACGGUAGCUAAUACCGCAUAACGUCGCAAGACCAAAGAGGGGGACCUUCGGGCCUCUUGCCAUCGGAUGUGCCCAGAUGGGAUUAGCUAGUAGGUGGGGUAACGGCUCACCUAGGCGACGAUCCCUAGCUGGUCUGAGAGGAUGACCAGCCACACUGGAACUGAGACACGGUCCAGACUCCUACGGGAGGCAGCAGUGGGGAAUAUUGCACAAUGGGCGCAAGCCUGAUGCAGCCAUGCCGCGUGUAUGAAGAAGGCCUUCGGGUUGUAAAGUACUUUCAGCGGGGAGGAAGGCGAUAAGGUUAAUAACCUUGUCGAUUGACGUUACCCGCAGAAGAAGCACCGGCUAACUCCGUGCCAGCAGCCCGCGGUAAUACGGAGGGGUGCCAAGCCGUUAUUCGAAUUACUGGGCGUAAAGCGCACGCAGGCGUCGUCAAGUGGGAUUGUGAAAUCCCGGGCUCAACCUGGGAACUGCAUUCGAAACUGGCAGGCCAGAGUCUGUAGAGGGGGGUAGAAUUCCCAGGUGUAGCGGUGAAAUGCGUAGAGAUCUGGAGGAAUACCGGUGGCGAAGGCGGCCCCUGGACAAAGACUGACGCUCAGGUGCGAAAGCGUGGGGAGCAAACAGGAUUAGAUACCCUGGUAGUCCACGCCGUAAACGAUGUCGACUUGGAGGUUGUGCCCCUGAGGCGUGGCUUCCGGAGCUAACGCGUUAAGUCGACCGCCUGGGGAGUACGGCCGCAAGGUUAAAACUCAAAUGAAUUGACGGGGGCCCGCACAAGCGGUGGAGCAUGUGGUUUAAUUCGAUGCAACGCGAAGAACCUUACCUACUCUUGACAUCCAGAGAACUUUCCAGAGAUGGAUUGGUGCCUUCGGGAACUCUGAGACAGGUGCUGCAUGGCUGUCGUCAGCUCGUGUUGUGAAAUGUUGGGUUAAGUCCCGCAACGAGCGCAACCCUUAUCCUUUGUUGCCAGCGGUUAGGCCGGGAACUCAAAGGAGACUGCCAGUGAUAAACUGGAGGAAGGUGGGGAUGACGUCAAGUCAUCAUGGCCCUUACGAGUAGGGCUACACACGUGCUACAAUGGCGCAUACAAAGAGAAGCGACCUCGCGAGAGCAAGCGGACCUCAUAAAGUGCGUCGUAGUCCGGAUUGGAGUCUGCAACUCGACUCCAUGAAGUCGGAAUCGCUAGUAAUCGUGGAUCAGAAUGCCACGGUGAAUACGUUCCCGGGCCUUGUACACACCGCC
rnacentral:rRNA from 1 species